rnacentral:rRNA from 1 species
UACGUAGGGUGCAAGCGUUGUCCGGAAUUAUUGGGCGUAAAGAGCUCGUAGGCGGCCUGUCGCGUCGGCUGUGAAAACUCAGGGCUCAACCCUGAGCCUGCAGUCGAUACGGGCAGGCUAGAGUCCGGCAGGGGAGACUGGAACUCCUGGUGUAGCGGUGAAAUGCGCAGAUAUCAGGAGGAACACCGGUGGCGAAGGCGGGUCUCUGGGCCGGAACUGACGCUGAGGAGCGAAAGCGUGGGGAGCGAACAGG